CUACGUGCCAGCAGCCGCGGUAAUACGGAAGGUCCAGGCGUUAUCCGGAUUUAUUGGGUUUAAAGGGAGCGUAGGCUGGAGAUUAAGUGUGUUGUGAAAUGUAGACGCUCAACGUCUGAAUUGCAGCGCAUACUGGUUUCCUUGAGUACGCACAACGUUGGCGGAAUUCGUCGUGUAGCGGUGAAAUGCUUAGAUAUGACGAAGAACUCCGAUUGCGAAGGCAGCUGACGGGAGCGCAACUGACGCUUAAGCUCGAAGGUGCGGGUAUCGAACAGGAUUAGAUACCCUGGUAGUCCGCACAGUAAACGAUGGAUGCCCGCUGUUGGUACCUGGUAUCAGCGGCUAAGCGAAAGCAUUAAGCAUCCCACCUGGGGAGUACGCCGGCAACGGUGAAACUCAAAGGAAUUGACGGGGGCCCGCACAAGCGGAGGAACAUGUGGUUUAAUUCGAAGCAACGCGAAGAACCUUACCAGGUCUUGACAUCCCUCUGACCGCUCUAGAGAUAGAGUUUUC
rnacentral:rRNA from 1 species